rnacentral:rRNA from 1 species
CUCGUAGGUGGUUUGUCGCGUUGUUCGUGAAAACUCACAGCUUAACUGUGGGCGUGCGGGCGAUACGGGCAGACUAGAGUACUGCAGGGGAGACUGGAAUUCCUGGUGUAGCGGUGGAAUACGCAGAUAUCAGGAGGAAUACCGGUGGCGAAGGCGGGUCUCUGGGCAGUAACUGACGCUGAGGAGCGAAAGCGUGGGUAGCGAACA